CCCACUCCUUGAGAAACUUUUUAUUCAAGUAGGUCUUAUCUCAAUAUCUUAAUCUUCAUUUCACGGAUCCUUUUUAUCUAAUGUAACUAAAAUCUGUCUUCCCUUUCAGCUUCCAUCAAUUCCUGAAGAUCUGACCUAUAUGUAUGAUCCAUCAGAAGAAGUUCAAGAACCAUCUGGAGUGGUUUUUGGCCAUCUGAGGGAUUAAGCUGAGUAAGUUCAAAGGAUGUAAGUGCGAAAUGAGUUUGGUGAAAUUUCUUCUCCAGAGGGCUGUUGUUUUAGAGAUCAUGGUGCUAGUCACUCCUCCAGGACAAAACAAAGUAGAAAGGAUUGGUGAAGGACAAGAUAGUGGAGUAGAAGAGGUAGUGCCUGGAUAUAACAUUGAGUAGAAGAAGUAGAAAGGUUGUUUUUAUUGAAUCAGACUAUAGUUAACAGAGAUGUAAACUCUCAUAUAUGAUGGAAGAAAUGUUAUGAAAUUUCUCAAAGUAAUUAUGGAAUUCCUCAUCUUUCAGAUUGUCUUGUAGUUUCAAAUGUUUACUCCAAAAUUCUUGCAUAUUGGCUGGUCUUUCGAGCAUAAAAAAUAUUUGUUGGCAACAAGGACAAUAACAAAAAGGUCGUGAAGUCCCAAACUAAAGGUGUAAAUUAAAACCAGUUUGCAAAUGUGGUGUGAAUUUCUUGAAAGAUGUUUCCUUGACCUGAAAUGGACAGCUGAACCCAAUCAAAUACCUACUGCCAAACUCACAAGCGGGAUAGUGAGCAAAUUGACAGCAAUCUUCUGACCCUUAGGUUAUUCGAUUUGGGGACGGUGGAUAACAUGGAUGGCACUUCUAACAAAAUCUAUCAUCAACAUCUCUAUUCGAUAUAAGGAACAUGCUCGAGAUCUCAUGAGUUAUUUCUAACAAAGGUAAGCCCUUUGAAGCAGGAAACAGAGGGUCUUCGUCGCUAUUCAACCAGAACCACUUCCGUGGAAAUCAAUUACAUUUCGAGUUCUGUACUAAAAUUGUCACCACCUUUAUGGUGCGUUUGACAGAGAAAAGAAGUCCAUCCCGAGUAUAAUCAAAUGAAGAAAAUCUAAUUAUCGGAUACAAAACUGCAGACGAAAUCGCAAGGGAUGGGGAAAACUAACCUUCUUGGAAGAACAAACAGGGGAAUUGCUCAGGAACACCCAUCUCAAGCUACAUCAAGACGACGAAAUCAACCACCCGUGUGAAGGGCCGGUCCACAGAGUGGAGAGGCCCCUGCCUCAUAGAUCUGGAACCGACCGGAAUGCCAGAAACCGCGGAAUUCGCACUAAAUCCAGGGCGGCGACACCGAGGAGGUUAUGAGAGAUAAAGAGGGGAGGAGAGAGGCUGGGCCAUGUGAGCCUUCGACUACUACUAAGAACCUGAAAGCCUACCAUGUGUGAGGCCCAGCUUAAUAGGCCCACUAAAAGCCCAUUUCCCAAC
rnacentral:lncRNA from 1 species